rnacentral:lncRNA from 1 species
UUAUGGGGAGCCUGAUGGGUGGCCGUGGGGACUCAGUUCUUGGCUCUAAGACAGUUGUCGCAUCCUGGAAGGGCUGUUCCUCAGCCUGUCACAUUCUUAGCUUAGAGCUGGGCUCACUGACUCCAGCUGGAGGCUGGACUGCUAAAAGUUCACUUCUAUUUUGCCACAUGAUAUUCGGUUAAUUAAGUGUUAAUCAACAGUUUUGUGGGUAUAAUGGAGAAAUGCGAUUUCAAUUUAGCAAGCUUUUCAUUUAGAUCACAUCUGUAUCUUUCCUCAAGACUCAAGAGAGAAGGGGAAAGUGGUUGGUUUGGCAAAUGCUGGAGGGGAUGUGGGUUGUUGGGACUGCAGAUUGACCCAGUCACUCUGGAAAUCAGUGUGGAGAAUUCUCAAAAUGUUAAAAAUAAAUCUGCCAUCCGACCUAGUUAUACCAUUCCUGGGCAUCUGUCCAAAGGCUCAACAUCUUACUCCACAGAUACUUGCUCAGCCAUGUUCACCACUGCUCUGCUCACAGCAGCUAUGAAGUGAAGUCCAUGGCCUUCAUGCAAUGAAUGGACAGUAAAGAUGUGCUACAUACACACUAUGCCCUUUAUGGAUACCUCUCAGCUGGAAGAAGAUGAGCUCAUGGACAGGUCACCACUGAUGGGUCCUGGAAGGGAAUGUUUGGUGCCCUGUUGACGCAUGGAGCCACUGUAGUUCUUCAGACUCCUUCCAUAUGAAGCUCAGAAGUCACUCAGUUCUUCAUUUUCAGAAAAAAACAAAACAAAAACAGCUACAAUAUCAAAAAGCCCAAAGUGACAGGCAUAAGGGAUACUCCUUGAAUUCUAUUGUAAAGUUCUGGAUGAUUGGAAUUUUUUUCCAGGUCACCUGUCAUUAUUUACUUCAUGGGACAAACACUUGAUAGGCCAGUAAGAC